rnacentral:rRNA from 1 species
UACGUAGGGUGCAAACGUUGUCCGGAAUUAUUGGGCGUAAAGAGCUCGUAGGCGGUUUGUUGCGUCGGCUGUGAAAUCCCGAGGCUCAACCUCGGGUCUGCAGUCGAUACGAGCAAACUAGAGUGUUGCAGGGGAGACUGGAAUUCCUGGUGUAGCGGUGAAAUGCGCAGAUAUCAGGAGGAACACCGGUGGCGAAGGCGGGUCUCUGGGCCGAUAUUGACGCUGAGGAGCGAAAGCGUGGGGAGCAAACAGG